AACUGUCAUCAACACACAUUCACGGAAGCCAUGCUUAAAGAAACAACAUGCUGAUACUUGGAAAGGAUCUAGAUAGAGAUUUAGAUACUUCGAACAGAUCAUCUCCCACCUAACAGGGCUCACCAGUCUGAUCAACCAAGUGCUCUUGAAAUCUACAAGGUGAGACACACCCAAUCAGUUGGGUGUUAUUUGAAAUGCUGUUUGAAGACUUUCCAGUAUGUGACGCUCCAACAUUGAGCAAUGAAAGAUGUUGUGCUAUGCUGGAAAUUACAGAAACAGAAUCCUGUUGAAGAGAUAGCAACUAAGUGGGAAUAACCACCGACGAUGGAUAAGUUGUGCAACUUGAUUCUUGUAGCUGCAGUUACAACUGUCAAUCAAAUAGACAAUGAUGUAAAAAUAACACACUUACAAAUGUCUGUGAGUAUAUAUUUACAAUAAAAAGUGUUAGCCAUGCC